rnacentral:rRNA from 1 species
AUACGGAGGACGCGAGCGUUAUCCGGAUUCAUUGGGUUUAAAGGGUGCGCAGGCGGCCGUGCAAGUCAGCGGUGAAAGCCCGGGGCUCAACCCCGGAAGUGCCGUUGAUACUGCGUGGCUGGAAUGCGGUCGAGGCGGGCGGAACGUGGCGUGUAGCGGGGAAAUGCGUAGAUAUGCCACAGAACGCCGAUAGCGGAGGCAGCUCGCCAGGCCUGCAUGGACGCUCGGGCACGAAAGCGUGGGGAUCGAACAGGAUUAGAUACCCUGGUAGUCCACGCCGUAAACGAUGGGCGCUCGUCGUCGGCGACAGACAGUCGGCGGCCAAGCGAAAGCGAUAAGCGCCCCACCUGGGGAGUACGGUCGCAAGGCUGAAACUUAAAGGAAUUGACGGGG